rnacentral:rRNA from 1 species
UUGAACGCUGGCGGCAGGCCUAACACAUGCAAGUCGAGCGGAUGAAGGGAGCUUGCUCCUGGAUUCAGCGGCGGACGGGUGAGUAAUGCCUAGGAAUCUGCCUGGUCGUGGGGGAUAACGUCCGGAAACGGGCGCUAAUACCGCAUACGUCCUGAGGGAGAAAGUGGGGGAUCUUCGGACCUCACGCUAUCAGAUGAGCCUAGGUCGGAUUAGCUAGUUGGUGGGGUAAAGGCCUACCAAGGCGACGAUCCGUAACUGGUCUGAGAGGAUGAUCAGUCACACUGGAACUGAGACACGGUCCAGACUCCUACGGGAGGCAGCAGUGGGGAAUAUUGGACAAUGGGCGAAAGCCUGAUCCAGCCAUGCCGCGUGUGUGAAGAAGGUCUUCGGAUUGGAAAGCACGUUAAGUGGGGAGGAAGGGCAGUAAGUUAAUACCUUGCUGUUUUGACGUUACCAACAGAAUAAGCACCGCCUAACUUCGUG